rnacentral:rRNA from 1 species
CUACAAUGGCAUAUACAAAGAGAAGCGACCUCGCGAGAGCAAGCGGACCUCAUAAAGUAUGUCGUAGUCCGGAUUGGAGUCUGCAACUCGACUCCAUGAAGUCGGAAUCGCUAGUAAUCGUAGAUCAGAAUGCUACGGUGAAUACGUUCCCGGGCCUUGUACACACCGCCCGUCACACCAUGGGAGUGGGUUGCAAAAGAAGUAGGUAGCUUAACCUUCGGGAGGGCGCUUACCACUUUGUGAUUCAUGACUGGGGUGAAGUCGUAACAAGGUAACCGUAGGGGAACCUGCGGUUGGAUCACCUCCUUA